rnacentral:rRNA from 1 species
AAGCAUAUCAAUAAGCGGAGGAAAAGAAACUAACAAGGAUUCCCCUAGUAACUGCGAGUGAAGCGGGAAAAGCUCAAAUUUAAAAUCCUUCGGGAAUUGUAGUCUCGAGAAGCGUUUUCGGCCGUGGCCUCGGACAAGUCCCUUGGAACAGGGCGUCAUAGAGGGUGAGAAUCCCGUCCUUGCCGAGCACACCAUGUCUAUGUGAUACGCUUUCGAAGAGUCGAGUUGUUUGGGAAUGCAGCUCAAAAUGGGUGGUAAACUCCAUCUAAAGCUAAAUAUUGGCGAGAGACCGAUAGCGAACAAGUACCGUGAGGGAAAGAUGAAAAGCACUUUGGAAAGAGAGUUAAACAGUACGUGAAAUUGUUGAAAGGGAAGCGCUUGAAGUCAGUCGCGUCUCCGGAGACUCAGCCUCACGGCGCAUUUCUUCGUUGACGGGCCAACAUCAGUUUUGGCCGCGGGAAAAGGACCUGGGGAAUGUGGCAGCUCCGGCUGUGUUAUAGCCUCUUGUCGUACACCGCGGCUGGGACUGAGGACUGCUUAACAGGAUGUUGGCGUAAUGGCUUUAAGCGACCCGUC